rnacentral:pre_miRNA from 1 species
UCAUUCAUAGAUUUUUAAUUGUUGUGGUUCUUUUACUAAGAGCCACAACAAUUAAAAAUCUAUGAAU